rnacentral:rRNA from 1 species
GAGUUUGAUCAUGGCUCAGAUUGAACGCUGGCGGCAUGCCUUACACAUGCAAGUCGAACGGCAGCACGGGAGCUUGCUCCUGGUGGCGAGUGGCGAACGGGUGAGUAAUGCAUCGGAACGUAUCCUGGAGUGGGGGAUAACGUAGCGAAAGUUACGCUAAUACCGCAUAUUCUGUGAGCAGGAAAGCGGGGGACCUUCGGGCCUCGCGCUCUUGGAGCGGCCGAUGUCGGAUUAGCUAGUUGGUGAGGUAAAGGCUCACCAAGGCGACGAUCCGUAGCAGGUCUGAGAGGAUGAUCUGCCACACUGGAACUGAGACACGGUCCAGACUCCUACGGGAGGCAGCAGUGGGGAAUUUUAGACAAUGGGGGCAACCCUGAUCCAGCCAUGCCGCGUGAGUGAAGAAGGCCUUCGGGUUGUAAAGCUCUUUCGCGAGGGAAGAAAUUACACCGGAUAAUACCUGGUGUAGAUGACGGUACCUUGAUAAGAAGCACCGGCUAACUACGUGCCAGCAGCCGCGGUAC